UUUGGUCAGAGUGUCACUAUGGAGUGGAGGCUGGGACUCCUCAUCCUCCUGUCUUAGUCUCCUGAGUGCUGGGGUAAGCCAGUAGUUGGAGUGGUUGCUGAGUCUCAAUAAUGAACAAGAAUGACAAAGAGAUUUAGACCCAACCUGGUGGAAGCUGCUCCCAUCCAGCCGGAUCCCAUCUCGGAACCACAGUAGUUCAGGGGCAGGUCGUGAAUCCCCACGACUCCGACAGGCUUAAUGUGGAGGUCAUGCUGGCCACUGGCUGAAUUCCCCGAUAUCCAGUACCGGGACCACCCUGGAGACAGAGGAGACCAUACAUAAUCCUGAGCUCCUGGUCUCACGUCUUCGUCUUCGGGCACCCACCUCAGGGAGCAGGGAAAGAGCCACACAUUCCCUGCUAAAACACUAUUAAAAAGCAUGUUCAGGGUGUGAUGAAACACACCUCUAAAUCCCAGCAUUCAGGAGUAUGAGGCAGGCCGAUCUCUUUAAGGUUGAGGCCAGCCUGUUCUGCAUAGGGAGUUCAGGCUGCCCAGGAUUACAUAGAGAGAUCUAGUCUCAAAAACCAA